UAAAAGUAGGGCCACCACCUCAAAACUCAAAUCUCCUUACAGAAUUAUAGAAUUCACAUACAUCACAGAAUCCACAUAAAUUGCAGAAUAACUGCCAUAUAUGACAAUUGUGAAGCCAAUGGAAUGUGAUGCAGUGAAGUUAGAUUUUAUGUUUAUUUUGCCUUUUUAUCAAGUAAGUGGAGAGUUGCUGAUGUCAGGAAAGUUUCUAAUUGAGAAUCCCUAAUGCACAGUGUCCUGAUGAGUGGCGACCUUCUCAGCGAGGACUGACAACCACACGGGUUCCUACUUCAUGACCAGACCAGGGUCACCAUGGAGACAUUUCUCAUUGGAUCAGCUUAUUAUGCCAUAGGAAACAUCUGAUUGAAAUGGAACUCACUGACCUAAAGCUCCUAAAAAAAAAUUUUCUAGGUCAGUGACAGACAAGUUGGCUGCUUCAAAAAAGGUCCUGAAAACUCAAGACAAUGGAACAAUGCCAAGCAGUAAGAUAUGGAUACAAUGAGUAAAAUCUAAAGAUUGGUUCCUUUAAGACAAAGGGAUCAACAUGUAAUAACUUGGAAAUAUAUAGCAAAGAGAGAGCCAAAGACGUCUUCUAGCCCUGCACUUUGCCUCCUACUAGAACCAGUGGGAAGAUGCUCCAGGAAGUUAGCAGAGUCAGUUACAGUUAACUGCAGCUCAGUGUAAGGAAGAAACUCAACAGUGGAGUCAUUUUGAGAGGGAAUAGGUUAUUCUGAAAAGUAGGGAGUUUCCCUUCCCUAUGGGAGUUGAAUCCAAGGUUGGAUCUUUUUUUUUUUUUUUUUUUUUUGAGAUGUGGUUUUCCUAUGUUGCCCAGGCUGGAGUGUACUGGCUAUUCACAGGCAUAAUCACAGCAUAGCACACCCUUGAACUCCUGGGCUCAAGGAUCCUCCCACCUCAGCAUCCUGAGUAGGUGGGACUACAGGUACACGCCACUGCACCUGGCCUGGAUGAUCAUUAUUAAUGAAUGUUUUGUAGAAGGGAUAUAAACAUGAGAUUGGUAGAUGAUCUGAAUGACUUUUAUGUUUGAGAGUAUUUUAUUCCAUACUCACUGUAGCCUUAUGUUCCCAAUUUUAAAUACAUAUAUAUAUACACACAUAUAUAUACACACACAGUUAUAUAUGCUAAUAUGUUACUUAUGACUAAAUAGUAUUUAUUUUUUAUGUUUCUCUAAUAUCAUUUAUAUUAAGAAAUUAAUUAAUCAAAAAAUCAAUCUUUUGUCAGACCAAAAGCUUGAAAACAAAAUAUGGCCUGUAUAACUAUAUUUCAUGGAAAAAAUAAUAAUCCAAACCAUUUCUCAGUGGCGUUUGUUCCUGGUUCCUUUUCCAGUACAUUCAUUCACUCAUGAAAAAUCAUUUUUGGGCUCAAAUGGUAGAGAAAACAAAGCCAAAAUUCUGAGCAGCAGUCCCAACCCUAGGAAGCUGUGUGGUUAUAUUAUCUAACAUCUAAAGGGCUAUUUAACCAUUCUAGGACUUGGUUUUGUCAUUUGUAAAAGGAGUGAAAUAACAGAAGCUGCCUUACAGGAUCGUUGUAAAGAUUAAUGUGUGAAUAUACGUGAGCCACUUAGAACAAUGGCUGGUACAUAGUAAGUACUAUUUGAGUGAUAGCUUUCAUUAUCAUCAUCAUUCAACAACAAUAUUGUUAUUCCAGGCUUGGGGAGCAUAAACACGAAUAGGACAGGACCUCUUUUUCUCUAAAGAUGCAUAGUCCGGCUAGAGAAAGCAUGUAGGUAAACAGUGCAGGAAGGGGAGAGAAUCACUGUAAUGGGGAAAUGUGCUAGCAACUCCAAAUGGGAGAUUGCAGAGAAGGCUGUCAGAGAAAUAGGCUGUUGAGCUGGGUUUUGAUGACUGACAAGGCAUUUUCCAGGUAGAGGAGGGAAAAGUGAUCUGGGCUGAAGGAUGUCACUUUGUGUUUAGCAAUCCUGAGGUUGCCUUAAAUCAGCCUCAAUCACUUCUGUUGAGUAGAAGCCUAUGCUUUCUGUCCUGCCCUGGUUCUUGGCUGCAGGUCACAAAACAUUUCAGUCCAUUCAAGAAUCCUUGAGAGCUCUCCUGGGGACCUCCUGGGCAAUGCAGAGGUCAGACAGCAGAGCCACAUUCUCAGGGAGAGUGGCACAGUCAAGGGAGAAGACAGGUGAAGAGAAUGUUUUCCUGUGAAGGUGGUGAGCUGAUUGCCUUAGAGAGCGUGAGCUCCUGCCUUAGAGAGCAGGUGAACUCUCUCCAAGAAAGCAAAUGGAAACAAGCAAGCAAAACACGUUUCUUUCUCUUGUGUCUACACCCCCAGCCCCCACCACCCAUGAGUAAAGUGUCUUAUCUAGGUCUUACAAUCAGCCUUCCUAUCCAAUAUUCAGAUUUAUCUGAACAUGAGACCCAACGGUAACUCUUGUCCCCCACGGCUCACGUGAUGUAAAGGCUUACCUGGAGGAUCUCGCCUAUUCAUAGCAUCUUUGUCUCCAUGUCCUUAUCAUCAUGUCCUCUUUCGGGAAGCAAAAGAAAAGACCUUUUGCUCAUUUCACUUACUUGAGGAGACUGUUUCAAAUUGCUAUUUCUAUAUGGCAAAUUUUACCUCCACCCUGACUUAACUAGGUGAGGGUAGAAAAUGAGACCUGUGGAACAGAGGAAAAGCGAAUGCAAGGGGAUGAGCGGCAGCAGCAAGAACAUCCUGGACCAUUGGGGUGAGAUCAAUGAAACCCACACUGGAGCCCAGGCCCUGAUGUCCCCUGAGCUCCUCCUCCACAGCCUGUCAACUCCUGUGUCUCUGCAGUCCUAAAUAAACAAGAAGCAGCAGGAGUUGAUUUGGGUUUAGUCAUGGAUGGCUCCCUACUCUCUCUUCGUAUUGAAGCUCAUUUUAUCCAAGAUGUUAUACAGAUGAGGGACUUACUGCUAACCUUGUUCUCAGGGAAGCUCCAAACUAAAGAAUCAAAAAAUAUGAUAAACUUGGGCCAAAAAUCCCAUCCACAGUUAUGGGAAUACCAUGACUGGGCAUAUGAGACACCUGAUUUUCAGCCUAAGGAAGCACCAUCGGCGAGACAUACAGUAUCACAAUCUGGCUAUAUUUUAUGCUCCCUUUCCAUCAGUCUGGGAUAAAUUGUGUGUGUCAAGUUCGGCAAGCAUGGGUGAGCUAAAUGGAGCUGUUAGCUGUCUUUUCAACAUAUUUAUCUGUUUCAUUGCCUACUCUAGGAUGUCUUUGUGAUCAUUAUAUAGGGAUCACAGAUAAUAGACUAUUUGAAAUCUUACUUCAAUUAAAACUUAAUCCUCAGAUGUCAAUAACAGUGUUUUAUACAUAAGGUUACAAUAAAAACAAUGUCUUUUGUGCAUAUCAUUAAAACAACAACAGAAAAUCAAGAAUAAGAAAUGGCCUGAACAUUUUCUAAAACAAGAUGCUCUACUAUGUCGUGUACCUUGUCACUGUGAUAAAAUUAUGGUUAUUUCAAUAUCUAUGCAACUUGACAAAGUCACACAGGAUUUAUAAGAAAAAAAAUC
rnacentral:lncRNA from 1 species